GGAGAAUGCCUUGGCAUUGGGAGCCGAAGAAGGACGCGGUAAGCUGCGAAAAGCUGCGUGGAGCCGCAAGCAGGCGUUGAUACGCAGGUGUCCGAAUGGAGCAAUCCUUGCAGAGUAAUAUCUGCAAAUCAUAUACUGAAUACAUAGGUAUAUGAGGGGAACCGCCUGAACUGAAACAUCUAAGUAGGGCGAGGAAGAGAAAUCAAAAGAGAUUCCGAAAGUAGUGGCGAGCGAAAUCGGAAGAGGCCAAACCGGGAGCAGCAAUGCUUUCGGGGUUGAGGACUGCAUUUAGCAUCGGAUGAAUCUAACAGAAGCGGAUGGGAAGCCGCACCGGAGAGCGUGAGAGUCGCGUACGUGAAAGAUGAGUCCGGCGAGCAGUAUCCAGAGUACCGCGGGACACGAGGAAUCCCGUGGGAAGCCGGGGGGACCACCCUCCAAGCCUAAAUACUACCCAAUGACCGAUAGCGAAGAGUACUGUGAAGGAAAGGUGAAAAGCACUCCGAAUAGGAGGGUGAAAGAGAUCCUGAAACCGUUCGCUUACAAGCG
rnacentral:rRNA from 1 species